rnacentral:lncRNA from 1 species
UGGCUGCGCAUCUGCAGACCUUCUUCUCCAGUUUUUUCUGUCAGCUGCCUGUGGUCUCCGCUCCUAGAAGCCGAAUGACGGGUGCCUGGUAACCGGAUGCCUCACACACCUGCCAGAACGAUCCCACCAGCUGGGAGGCCGCCACCUCUUGAGGAGGAAGGACACACCAGCUUACCAACCGGUUCGAAUAUUACUAAGAUCACAGCAGAGGUGCUCAGAGAACAAGGCCCUGUGGCCUGAAGCAAAGACUGCCUAUGCUCUUCCUGCAGCCUGGACUCCAUCACGGUCUGAGGUGAUCCAGAGCAGACGGCCUCAGCCCAGUGUAUUACAGAAGAAGCUGUAACCUCUUCCUCCCUUAGCUGCUUCUUGUCUGGUAUUUGGCCACUGGUAUGAUUUAAAUAACCAACGUAAUCCCACACUCUUGUCUUAUGCUACCCGGGACUUUGUCAGGGUUAAAAUUCUGCGUGGAAAAGUCCUCGAACCCAGUCCCACUGGGUUGGUCAUCUUGCAGCUCCAGGUGAAGAGGAAACUCUUUCUCCUGUUUUCUUGGGGGCGAGAAUUGGAAAAGAGGACAUUUGUGCAGGACUUGGGUAAUGGCACCUGUCCCCUUCCCCUCACUUCCCAGCCAGGAUAUGCUGGUCGGUCGGUCACUCCGCACUGAGAAUCUGAGCCUCCCCUUCUGCCUCUCAAAACCACAGACAGACCCUUCAGAUGUCUGAAGUUAUCUCAGAGCACACUUCCUGGCUG